UGGAGUACGGUUCUUCAUUUAAUUUCCUCGUCACAAUGAUCUGAGCAGAUAGGAUUUCCUGUUUCUCUUUAGUCUUCACCAAUCAGCUUCAAUGACAUUGUCUUAUUUUCACAUGCUCCAUCAUCCAACAGCUCACCCUAUUUUGUUUACAUACGGCUGAUCUCUGCAUGUUGCCAAGCUUCACCAUUUUCAACAAUAUUUCUAUGGCCACAGCUCCAGUACUCAUAUCACCUUUCAAUAUGGCCCCUGAAAAUUCUGGAAAGGAUAAGGAGCUUCUCUUCUCCGGUGACCCCAAGUUCGCUCUCCAUGCGCCGGCCUCGUGAUCACCCCAAGCUAAAGCUCGGCCAGCCGGAGACAGCUUAAAGAUUAAUUGGGCAGUUUUCCCGGCCCAAGUUGGUCGAUCUGAGUGAACAUCAUCGUGGAGAGAUCUAGAUCAUGCCACUGCAGCUGGGUAUACCUUUUAUAUAUGUUUAUGGCCGGUUUUUAUCUACCACUUUAAUUUCCAUUUUGGGGUUGUGGGUUCUUAAUUUAUUAGAUCUAAACUUAAAGCACAUAGCUUGGUGGCUAUAUAUCUUUCAAUAUUUGUUAUUAUUACCAUUUGUGUUAUCCAUAUGUUGGACGGAGUUACACAUGUAUGGCCAUGUGCCAAAAGCUGAAACCCAACCCAGAUUUAUCAUGUGGUUGAGGUUCUUUAGCAAUCGAUUGACCAUUAUUGAAAAUUGAUUUACUGCUGCAGCUAGCGGUUAAGAGUAA